UUGGAGGGCAAGUCUGGUGCCAGCAGCCGCGGUAAUUCCAGCUCCAAUAGCGUAUAUUAAAGUUGUUGCAGUUAAAAAGCUCGUAGUUGAAUUUCGGGAUCAGAUUGUCGGUCGUGCCUCGGUACGCACUGGUAUUAUUGGUUCCUACCUUCUGAAGAACCGCGAUGUCAUUAAUUUGGUGUCGUGGGGAAUCAGGACUGUUACUUUGAAAAAAUUAGAGUGUUUAAAGCAGGCUUACGCUUGAAUACAUUAGCAUGGAAUAAUGAAAUAGGACGUUUGAUUCUAUUUUGUUGGUUUCUAGGAUUGACGUAAUGAUUAAUAGGGAUAGUUGGGGGCAUUAGUAUUCAAUUGUCAGAGGUGAAAUUCUUGGAUUUAUUGAAGACUAGCUACUGCGAAAGCAUUUGCCAAGGAUGUUUUCAUUAAUCAAGAACGAAAGUUAGGGGAUCGAAGACGAUCAGAUACCGUCGUAGUCUUAACCAUAAACUAUGCCGACUAGGGAUCGGAUGAUGUUAAUUUUUUAAUGACUCAUUCGGCGCCUUACGGGAAACCAAAGUGUUUGGGUUC
rnacentral:rRNA from 1 species